GCACUGCUGAGGAGUCCCACAAUAGGACAAAACGGCCGUCCAGUGU
rfam:Schistosoma mattheei strain Denwood, Zambia genome assembly, scaffold: SMTD_scaffold0012307